AGUGAACGCUGGCGGUAGGCCUAACACAUGCAAGUCGAACGGCAGCACAGUAAGAACUUGCUCUUACGGGUGGCGAGUGGCGGACGGGUGAGGGAAACACCGGAAUAUACUUUUUCGUAGGGGAUAACGAAGGGGAACUUACGCUAUAACGCAUACGUCCUACGGGUGAAAGCAGGGGAACUUCGAACCUUGCGCGAUCGGAUGAGCCGAUGUCGGGUUAGCUAGUUGGCGUGGUAGAGGCCCAGCACGGCGACGAUCCGUAGCGGGUCGGUGAGGAUGAUCAGCCACACUGGAACUGAGCCACGGUCCAGACUCCUACGGUACGCAGCGCUGGGGAAUAUUGGACUAGGGGCGCAAGCCUGAUCCAGCCCUGCCGCGUGGGUGACGAAGGCCCUCGGGUUUUAGUGCUAUUCUGUUGUUAUAAAAAAGUAGCAGGUUAAUCCCCCGCUUUUCUGACGGUACCCAAAGAAUAAGCACCGGCUAACUUCGUG
rnacentral:rRNA from 1 species